GCAUGUUUAUGUCAGUGGUAGAGGAUCUGCUUGGCAGGCGGGAGGUGCCAGGUUCGAUCCCUGGCAUCUGCA
rnacentral:tRNA from 1 species